rnacentral:rRNA from 1 species
AUUGAACGCUGGCGGCAUGCCUUACACAUGCAAGUCGAACGGCAGCACGGGAGCAAUCCUGGUGGCGAGUGGCGAACGGGUGAGUAAUAUAUCGGAACGUGCCCAGUCGUGGGGGAUAACGCAGCGAAAGCUGUGCUAAUACCGCAUACGAUCUACGGAUGAAAGCGGGGGAUCGCAAGACCUCGCGCGAUUGGAGCGGCCGAUAUCAGAUUAGCUAGUUGGUGGGGUAAAGGCCCACCAAGGCGACGAUCUGUAGCUGGUCUGAGAGGACGACCAGCCACACUGGAAAUGAGAAACGGUCCAGACUCCUACGGGAGGCAGCAGUGGGGAAUUUUGGACAAUGGGCGCAAGCCUGAUCCAGCAAUGCCGCGUGCAGGAUGAAGGCCUUCGGGUUGUAAACUGCUUUUGUACGGAACGAAACGGCCCUUUCUAAUACAGGGGGCUAAUGACGGUACCGUAAGAAUAAGCACCGGCUAACUACGUGCCAGCCGCCGCAGUAA